AACGACUCUCGGCAACGGAUAUCUCGGCUCUCGCAUCGAUGAAGAACGUAGCGAAAUGCGAUACUUGGUGUGAAUUGCAGAAUCCCGUGAACCAUCGAGUCUUUGAACGCAGGUUGCGCCCUAAGCCUUCUGGCCGAGGGCACGUCUGCCUGGGUGUCACAAA
rnacentral:rRNA from 1 species